UUUGGCAUAGUAAUAUCUCAGUCUUUUGAUCUUUUACCAUUGGCAGUUCUGUGAUUUUCAGUGGCAUUACAUUUAGAAAAAACAUGUCAAUAAGUCUUAAGGUCAGAAGGUACCAUUAGUAAUUAUUCAUAGGAGGUUUUUGAAGUCCAACUCUGAAAUUAUUAUAAAAAAAAGUUUGUGUUCAUUUCUUACUUUAGAUUCAAAGUUGUUAGAUGUCAUUAGCAUUAUGUUCAUUAAUUCAGCCUUUAAAGCCUGUUUUUAUCCUCCUUACAAUUUACAAUUACAGGGGUCGCCAUCCAUGGUCCAGCAGCCAGAGGCUUAUAAUCUUUUAGCAACCACAGCCGUUGGUGAUGGGAUAUGAUUGUGGGACCUGAGAGCCCUGAGGUGUGUGUGCCAUGUUGAAGGCCCCGCGAGCCGCUGCCGCCCAUGCGGAACUGCUUUCAGCCCAUGUGGAUGCUGCUUGGCUGUGGCGCCGACGACAGACAUGUAUGUGCCGCGUGGCGCUGGAUGUCCUCGUUAGGCCCCCCGGCUUGUGAUCACGGGGCCUGUGAUGCUGCCAGUGACUGUUGCUUAGCUUGCCUGCUGGCUCGGGUUUGGAGAUUCUCACAGAAAUGGAAUACCGGAUCUGUCAUUCCAUAGCAAGGCUCCCAGGACCGGAACCCCACGUUGCUCUGGAACUCAGUAGUCCAGCAGGGCACCCGACUGCCUGUAGUUGGCCAGUGACCUUGAGGGCACUGAUGACUGGCGGGUGGUGUGCCCAUGUGGCCUUGGCCUCACGUCACCUGUGGGAACAGCCAUGAGAAACCUGUGGGUGGAGAUGACCCAGACGCACACCUCAGAAUGAAGAGUUCUUCGGCGAGAACAGUGCUCGCCGUCUGGAAGCUACUGCUGGUUUGUGGGCGAUGGGAAAUUCAAAAGGAAGAUGGAAUUUAGACCAGUUUCUGAUGAAAUGCAGACCAAAUGCUUGUUUGGACCCAGAACAUUUUAAAUCAUAUGGGGAAAAAGGGCAUGAUUUAUCCAAUACUCAUAGAUUUUAGAAAUUAUAAAAAUACCAUAAAGUUAAAAAGGUUUUAUAGGUGGUACAGUUCCUAUAAACACUGAAGUAGGUGUGUGUCCACUUUACACUGUGGUGAAAAUAUUUUUAAGUCUAAAAUAUUAUAUAACAUAGAACAUGACAAUGAAAAUAGUCUCUUUUUUUUAACUUAUAGCCCUCCUUCCUGACCAUGUUUUAAGUAUGUGAAGGGGACAGCAAUAUAUUUUUCUAUACUUUGACAUUUUUAAUCAAAAUUAAAGGUGUUUUUUCAAUAGUGAUUAAAAGGGCAGGAUUGGAGAAAAAAGAAGCCCAGGGGUUGCCGUUUGCCUGCAGCAGUGUUAACAUAAGCACCCUGCUGGGUGACUGACUCUCUUCUUUCUGUAGAGGUCAUGUUGCCCCACAGCAAAGGCCCGAGGUCUGGGGCAUGCUCAGGAGCGUGGACAGAUGCACCUGUGAGGCCCCCGGACCCAGUGCUGCCCCCACCCAGGGUCGCCCACAUGCCCUUCCCACCAUCCCCACAUUCAUGCCCAGUGUAACGGGCAUUCACAUCCAUCAGCAUUGGUUUUGUCCUUUCUGGUUCUUCACCUUGGUGGGGUCUGGCUCAGUGACUUGAAGUGCAUACUGGCACCUCUUUCCUUCAUGUGGGGAGGAUCCCCCUGCCUGGUGCAGCCCGGUCUGCCUGUUUCUCAGCUGAGGAGCUUCUGACGUUUCCAGUCUGUGGUGACCACAGCAAAGGCACCGGGGCGUCGGAGCAGCUGUCUGUGUGGACACCUCCUGUUUCUCCUGAGUGAGCAGGUGGGAGCCCAGCGGGUGAGGGUGGGGACCCCCGCUGGCCCUCCACCUCUUUCUUGCCGCCUGUGCUGUCAGAGCUCCUGUGCUUCCAUAUUCUCAGCCAUAGUCAGUCUUAUUAGUCUUAUUUUUAGCUAUUGUAGUUUUAGUGUAGUUUGAAUUUACAUUUCUUUAAUAAGGAGUGAUACUGAGCACUUUAUCUGUGUUCAUAGGCCUACUUUUAAUUUAUUUUUUAUUGUUGAGUUGUAGAACUUUUAAAAAAUGUAUUCUGGAUGCUAUUGUAUGUCACAUGUAUAUAUUGCAGAUAUGCCCCCCCAAUCUGUGUCUUGUCAAUUUGUAUUAAGAUAAUAUCCUUUAAUGAACGUGGGCGUUAAAUUUUUGUUAAAUCCCACUCUGACUCUAUGGUUAGUGCUUUCUGCAGCCUGUCUCAGAAAUCUCUGCCAAUCCAGGGCUGCAAAGAUAUUCUCAGAGUUUUCUUCCAUGAAGUGUAGUUUUUAUUUGUAUUUAGGUCUAAGAUCCAUUGUAUUAGCAUUUACCACUCCACAACAGUAUUUGUAAAAGCUUCAUGGUCUAAAACAACACAUAUUUAUUACCUCACAGUUUCUGUGGGCAAGACUGGCGACUCAGGGGGUCCACAGCUCAGGAUCCCUCCUGGGUGGCUGACGGGCUGUGUCCUCGCCGGAGGCUCUGCCGGCCGGUCAGCUUCCAGGCUCACUCAGGCUGCCGGCCGGUCCUGGUCUCUGCGGCUGUAGGAUGGAGGGCCCCACUCUUAGAGGAUCGCUGCAGUUCCUUGACAGGUGGGGUCCCCGGUGAGGCCGCCUGCCUCCUCACACUCGGCAAGGGCAGAGCCUCCAGCAAGAAAGUGCUGUGGUGUCACACAUGAGGCGCCUGCACUUGUUCCGCGCAGCCUGCCCCCUUUCUGCAGCUCAGGAUGAGUCUUGGCCCCAUCCCCCUC